rnacentral:rRNA from 1 species
GAACGCUAGCGGCAGGCUUAACACAGUGCAAGUCGCGGGGCAGCGCGGGUAGCGAAGUACCGUGGCGGCGACCGGCGGAAGGGUGCGUAACGCGUGAGCAACAUGCCCGUAUCAGGGGAUAACCGAUGGAAACGUCGCCUAAUACCCCAUAACAACGGUUUUCGCAUGAUGACCGUUUGAAAGUUACGCGGAUACGGAUUGGCUCGCGUGACAUUAGCUUGUUGCGGGUAACGGCCCACCAAGGCUACGAUGUCUAGGGGUUCUGAGAGGAAGGUCCCCCACACUGGAACUGAGACACGGUCCAGACUCCUACGGGAGGCAGCAGUGAGGAAUAUUUGGUCAAUGGGCGCAAGCCUGAACCAGCCAUGCCGCGUGCAGGAAUGAGGCCCUAUGGGUCGUAAACUGCUUUUGCUGCGGAGCAAUAAGUGCCACGUGUGACACGAUGAGAAUACGCAGCGAAUAAGCAUCGGCUAACUCCGUGCC